rnacentral:rRNA from 1 species
GUGGGGAAUAUUGGACAAUGGGCGGAAGCCUGAUCCAGCAACGCCGCGUGAGGGAUGACGGCCUUCGGGUUGUAAACCUCUUUCAGUACCGACGAAGCGAGAGUGACGGUAGGUACAGAAGAAGCACCGGCCAACUACGUGCCAGCAGCCGCGGUAAUACGUAGGGUGCGAGCGUUGUCCGGAAUUAUUGGGCGUAAAGGGCUCGUAGGCGGUUUGUUGCGUCGGGAGUGAAAACAUCCAGCUUAACUGGGUGCUUGCUUUCGAUACGGGCAGACUUGAGGUAUGCAGGGGAGAAUGGAAUUCCUGGUGUAGCGGUGAAAUGCGCAGAUAUCAGGAGGAACACCGGUGGCGAAGGCGGUUCUCUGGGCAUUACCUGACGCUGAGGAGCGAAAGUGUGGGGAGCGAACAGGAUUAGAUACCCGGGUAGUCC